rnacentral:rRNA from 1 species
UACGUAGGGUGCAAGCGUUGUCCGGAAUUAUUGGGCGUAAAGAGCUCGUAGGCGGCCUGUCGCGUCGGAUGUGAAAAUCCAAGGCUCAACCUUGGACCUGCAUUCGAUACGGGCAGGCUAGAGUUCGGUAGGGGAGACUGGAAUUCCUGGUGUAGCGGUGAAAUGCGCAGAUAUCAGGAGGAACACCGGUGGCGAAGGCGGGUCUCUGGGCAGUAACUGACGCUGAGGAGCGAAAGCGUGGGGAGCGAACAGG